UACGUAGGGUGCAAGCGUUGUCCGGAAUUAUUGGGCGUAAAGAGCUCGUAGGCGGUUUGUCGCGUCUGCUGUGAAAACUCGGGGCUUAACUCCGGGCCUGCAGUGGGUACGGGCAGACUAGAGUGCGGUAGGGGAGACUGGAAUUCCUGGUGUAGCGGUGAAAUGCGCAGAUAUCAGGAGGAACACCGAUGGCGAAGGCAGGUCUCUGGGCAUUAACUGACGCUGAGGAGCGAAAGCAUGAGGAGCGAACAGG
rnacentral:rRNA from 1 species